UUCGCCUACGGGACGCAGCAGUGGGGAAUAUUGCACAAUGGGGGAAACCCUGAUGCAGCAACGCCGCGUGAGUGAAGAAGGUUUUCGGAUUGUAAAGCUCUAUCAGCAGGGAAGAAAGAAAUGACGGUACCUGACUAAGAAGCCCCGGCUAACUACGUGCCAGCAGCCGCGGUAAUACGUAGGGGGCAAGCGUUAUCCGGAUUUACUGGGUGUAAAGGGAGCGUAGACGGCAAUGCAAGUCUGGAGUGAAAGGCGGGGGCCCAACCCCCGGACUGCUCUGGAAACUGUAUAGCUGGAGUGCAGGA
rnacentral:rRNA from 1 species